rnacentral:rRNA from 1 species
AGUGAACGCUGGCGGUAGGCCUAACACAUGCAAGUCGAACGGCAGCACAGUAAGAGCUUGCUCUUACGGGUGGCGAGUGGCGGACGGGUGAGGAAUACAUCGGAAUCUACUUUUUCGGGGGGGAUAACGUAGGGAAACUUACGCUAAUACCGCAUACGACCUACGGGUUAAAGCAGGGGAUCUUCGGACCUUUCGCGAUUGAAUGAGCCGAUGUCGGAUUAGCUAGUUGGCGGGGUAAAGGCCCACCAAGGCGACGAUGCGUAGCUGAUCUGAGAGGAUGAUCAGCCACACUGGAACUGAGACACGGUCCAGACUCCUACGGGAGGCAGCAGUGGGGAAUAUUGGACAAUGGGCGCAAGCCUGAUCCAGCCAUACCGCGUGGGUGAAGAAGGCCUUCGGGUUGUAAAGCCCUUUUGUUGGGAAAGAAAAGCAGCAGGUUAAUACCCCGCUGUUCUGACGGUACCCAAAGAAUAAGCACCGGCUAACUUCGUG